UACGUAGGGUGCGAGCGUUGCCCGGAUUUAUUGGGCGUAAAGGGCGCGUAGGCGGUCACGCACGUCCGCUGUGAAAUCGCUCGGCUCAACUGGGCGGGGUCAGCGGAUACGGCGUGGCUGGAGCAAGCUAGGGGGCAAUGGAAUUCCCGGUGUAGUGGUGGAAUGCGUAGAUAUCGGGAGGAACACCAGUGGCGAAGGCGGUUGCCUGGAGCUUUGCUGACGCUGAUGCGCGAAAGCGUGGGGAGCGAUCCGG
rnacentral:rRNA from 1 species